rnacentral:rRNA from 2 species
AUGCUGGAGGUAUCAGAAGUGCGAAUGCUGACAUAAGUAACGAUAAAGCGGGUGAAAAGCCCGCUCGCCGGAAGACCAAGGGUUCCUGUCCAACGUUAAUCGGGGCAGGGUGAGUCGACCCCUAAGGCGAGGCCGAAAGGCGUAGUCGAUGGGAAACAGGUUAAUAUUCCUGUACUUGGUGUUACUGCGAAGGGGGGACGGAGAAGGCUAUGUUGGCCGGGCGACGGUUGUCCCGGUUUAAGCGUGUAGGCUGGUUUUCCAGGCAAAUCCGGAAAAUCAAGGCUGAGGCGUGAUGACGAGGCACUACGGUGCUGAAGCAACAAAUGCCCUGCUUCCAGGAAAAGCCUCUAAGCAUCAGGUAACAUCAAAUCGUACCCCAAACCGACACAGGUGGUCAGGUAGAGAAUACCAAGGCGCUUGAGAGAACUCGGGUGAAGGAACUAGGCAAAAUGGUGCCGUAACUUCGGGAGAAGGCACGCUGAUAUGUAGGUGAAGCGACUUGCUCGUGGAGCUGAAAUCAGUCGAAGAUACCAGCUGGCUGCAACUGUUUAUUAAAAACACAGCACUGUGCAAACACGAAAGUGGACGUAUACGGUGUGACGCCUGCCCGGUGCCGGAAGGUUAAUUGAUGGGGUCAGCGCAAGCGAAGCUCUUGAUCGAAGCCCCGGUAAACGGCGGCCGUAACUAUAACGGUCCUAAGGUAGCGAAAUUCCUUGUCGGGUAAGUUCCGACCUGCACGAAUGGCGUAAUGAUGGCCAGGCUGUCUCCACCCGAGACUCAGUGAAAUUGAACUCGCUGUGAAGAUGCAGUGUACCCGCGGCAAGACGGAAAGACCCCGUGAACCUUUACUAUAGCUUGACACUGAACAUUGAGCCUUGAUGUGUAGGAUAGGUGGGAGGCUUUGAAGUGUGGACGCCAGUCUGCAUGGAGCCGACCUUGAAAUACCACCCUUUAAUGUUUGAUGUUCUAACGUUGACCCGUGAUCCGGGUUGCGGACAGUGUCUGGUGGGUAGUUUGACUGGGGCGGUCUCCUCCUAAAGAGUAACGGAGGAGCACGAAGGUUGGCUAAUCCUGGUCGGACAUCAGGAGGUUAGUGCAAUGGCAUAAGCCAGCUUGACUGCGAGCGUGACGGCGCGAGCAGGUGCGAAAGCAGGUCAUAGUGAUCCGGUGGUUCUGAAUGGAAGGGCCAUCGCUCAACGGAUAAAAGGUACUCCGGGGAUAACAGGCUGAUACCGCCCAAGAGUUCAUAUCGACGGCGGUGUUUGGCACCUCGAUGUCGGCUCAUCACAUCCUGGGGCUGAAGUAGGUCCCAAGGGUAUGGCUGUUCGCCAUUUAAAGUGGUACGCGAGCUGGGUUUAGAACGUCGUGAGACAGUUCGGUCCCUAUCUGCCGUGGGCGCUGGAGAACUGAGGGGGGCUGCUCCUAGUACGAGAGGACCGGAGUGGACGCAUCACUGGUGUUCGGGUUGUCAUGCCAAUGGCACUGCCCGGUAGCUAAAUGCGGAAGAGAUAAGUGCUGAAAGCAUCUAAGCACGAAACUUGCCCCGAGAUGAGUUCUCCCUGACUCCUUGAGAGUCCUGAAGGAACGUUGAAGACGACGACGUUGAUAGGCCGGGUGUGUAAGCGCAGCGAUGCGUUGAGCUAACCGGUACUAAUGAACCGUGAGGCUUAACCUU